GUAGGGGGGGCGAGCGUUGUCCGGAUUUAUUGGGCGUAAAGAGCUCGUAGGCGGCUUGGCAAGUCGGGUCGUGAAAUCCCGAGGCUCAACCUCGGAUCGUCGGUCGAAACUGCCCAUGGCUAGGGUCCGGUAGAGGAGAGUGGAAUUCCCGGUGUAGCGGUGAAAUGCGCAGAUAUCGGGAGGAACACCAGUAGCGAAGGCGGCUCUCUGGGCCGGUACCGACGCUGAGGAGCGAAAGCGUGGGGAGCAAACAGGAUUAGAUACCCUGGUAGUCCACGCCGUAACGUUGGGUACUAGGUGUGGCGAGUUGUACCAACACUUGCCGUGCCGCAGCUAACGCAUUAAGUACCCCGCCUGGGGAGUACGGUCGCAAGGCUA
rnacentral:rRNA from 1 species